UUCUCUCCUUUAUUUAUUUUUUAGCAGUUCUUUAUUUUGCUUUGCUAUGUGAUUAUAUGAUUUGUGUUUGUUAGUCAUGAUUAGUUAGCUAUGUAUGUAUGCUUAGUUUAGUUUAGUAUUUCCUUAAGUAAGUUAAUACAUGUUUAGCUUAGAUUAGUUCUGUGUUAUCUAGAUUAGUUUAGUUUGGUAAUGUGCCUGUAGAUUUUGCUUAACUUAAUCAACUGACAUGUGAUUUGCGUAGAAGAUUGCUAGUCCAUUAACAUGUUUGACUGAACUAAUGUUCUACCAUGUGCUUAAAGAGAUUCUUAGCAUCUCUAAUAUCUGUUUGCAUACUAACUUACUUGAUCAUAUGUUAGUAUUCCAGUUGAUUAGCAUGAAUUAUUUGGUUGUGACCUGUUAGUUUUUGUUUAUUAGAGGAGGUUUACAUUAGGAUACUCUGUUGAAUGGGAUGGAUUUGUUGGAAUUCAAUUCAGUUAUUAUGUUGGUAGUCGCAGUGUUUUUGCUCAAAAUUAGAUAAAUGACUAAGUAUGUGUGAGGGUGAAUAGAUUUGGAGUUCUGGGUGUUAAAUAUGCCUAGUUAAUUGCACUGUCCAAGCAUGUAUCUUUCUUGACUUAACUAAGUUUAUUAAAAAUGUUGUUUAUACACUUAGGGAAACAUGUCUAAAUUAAUCAAGUUAUAAGGGAUGAGGUGAAGUGUCACGACCUAAUUCGUGAAUCGUGAUGACAACUACACUGUCCCCAGGUAGGCGAACUAUUCCCAAAUCAUUUUAGUCAUUUAUAAGAAUUAUGCGGAAAUAAACAAUGAUUUAGCUAACAUAUUCAAAUUAUACAAAUAAUAAGUGCGGAAGUAUUAGUAACCCCAAAAUCUGAUUUGGACUAGUACAAGAGCCACUAUUACAUAGAUACAAGUCUGAUAAGAAGGACAAAUCUCAAAUAUUAAUAUUGUCUCAGAAAUACAAAGUAGACAGUUAAAUACAAAUAAGAGUUUUUAGGUUGCAGCUCUAGCCCAAAAGCUCACCCUAGAAUCUCUGUCAAGUAAACUCGGAUCACUCUCGAGGACGGGAACUGGGAUUGUUAACAAACUCUGCACCCAAAGAAGAGUACAGGAAGAGUAGAAUCAGUACAAACAACAAGUAGUGGUAGGUAUCAUAGGCUGACAAAAAUUAGUUCACAUAUAUGAGGAAAGAAAUCAACAAGUAGGCAGAUCAGCAAUCAAGCAUACUCACAAAUCACAAUAUCGUAAUAAACAAGGACUUCCGUCCACACAUACGUCAUACAUAAACUCACUUUCGAAGUAAUAAGCCUAGGUGAAGCUUCUAAACCACAAGUCUGUCGAGUCUCAAUAAUCUCAAAUCGAUAAUCACAAAUCCAAGUUCAGAACCUGGGUAGAGUUGCUAAUCUACAAUCUGGUCCAGUCCAAAAUCAGAUCUAUGCCACAACAAUGGUACAAGCGAACCAUACCAAAUCAGAAAUAAAGAGCCAUAUGAUGAUGCAGGAUAAAAUGUAAUGAUGUGCAUGUUGACACCUACUUUUCACCUCAUAAGAUGCGUAUUUUAAUUUUUCAAAUUUCCCGAGUCAAGACGGAGUAGGGAUACACCCUUUAAAAAUUAAAAUUUAAAAAUCUCGAGAAAAUUGCAAAAUGACGUUUAAUUGUUACUUCCUGAAAAUUGACGACUACGAGAAAUAUGAGUUAUUUACUUUCAUCCUAUUCUGUCUAAUUCGGGAAAUUGUUAAUUAAGAACGACGUGUGAAUUACGGCUCAUUUUAAUCGCAUUUUUACAUAUUUGAAAUAUUGCUCGGAACUAUGUCAAUAAUGGGCUCGUUUUAAAGCUCGCAUUUUAAUUCUACAAAUUAUGGUUUUUAUUGGUCCAAAUAAUUAUUAUUAUUAGUAUUUUAAACCAAUAUAUAUAUCUCUGACACAUGUUUUAUUAUACAAAAGGAGGGGUCAUUUUUUAUCUUGUAUGGUACAAUUUGAUUCAUUUGUACCUUUGUUGGUACUAUUUGCAUGAUUAUUGCUGCCAUGUGUACUAUCCUUGUACGAAUUUGUUGAAAUUCUUUUGUCUUAUUCUAAUUGGGUUACAAAUUUGUUAGUUGGAUUUUUUGUCUAAUUUGAUUUUUGGAAUUAUGGAUAAGGUCUUUUGAAAAUUAAGGGUCUUGGGGGGAAAAGGUAUGAUCAUGCGUACUAUCAUAGUACAAAUUUGUUGAAAUUCUUUUGUCUUAUUCUAAUUAGGGUACAAAUUUUUUAGUUGGAUUUUUGUAUUAUUUAAAAAUUUAAAAAGAUAAAGGGGUUUUCAAAGAUUUUGUGAAGUGUUGGUGCUUGAAUUUGGUGGAUUCAAUCCUUCCUUUUGAUCUUUAGGUUGCCCCAUUAAAAGGUAACCUCUUAGUCUAUCCUUUGUUUCAUUCUAGUUAUGAUUAUGUAUUUAUUAUGAUGCUUGUGUUAGUUAAAAAUAAUUAUGUGCUAACUUAGUCCUCUUUUGAUGAUUAAGUGGAUAUUAUGUGAGUUUGAUGUCAUUUGAAACUGUAAAAUGAAUUAAAAGCUUGAUUUAGAUGAUGUUAAGUGAUCUUGGGUUAGCUAAGUUUGAUAAAAAUGAGAAAAAGAAUAGUUUAUGUUGGAGCUUUGACACUGUUUUAUUGACACUGAUAGAUUUAAGUAUAGUUUAGUCAUUCUUGUUAGUUUUUGAUAGGAUACAAUUAGUUCUUGUGAAUCUGUCACUAGUCCAUGGCAAUUUUAUGCAUUUUUUGAUCUUGUUUGGCUAUUUUAAUAAUUAAGAAAUUGGUUGAGUAGAUUAUAGGAUAGAGGUUGUUUGUUUGUUGAGUUAAUAUAUCUCUAAGUCUCAAAAUGUGCUUUCCCUAGCCUGUUUUAAUCUUGAGUGUUGAGAAGUCGACCUUUUUUUGUCAUUUGAUUGAAUAUUGAUUGUUUUAAAGUGCACUUAGCGUUUCAAAUCAUUUUUUUUUAGAAAAAUAUGAUAGUCUUAGGUUCUAAAACUGGAUUAGUGAAAGUUUUCUUUCAAAAUGAAUGAUGGAGUCUUGUUUUGAAGCUUUGAGUGGGUUUUAGAAAAAACCAAGUAGCCUGUUUUUGAGUCUUGUUAGGAUUUGUAGCUUGCACCUUCAAUUUUCACUUGAAUUAUUUGCCUUAAUUUGAUUAUGAGGAAUUUUUUGAUCAAUAAAACUUGUUUGUUUUGCUUGGAUGUCUUUCUUAACACCUAGAUUGCUGUCAAAAGAUUUUAAAAAGAAUGAGGAAUUACUCUUGAAUAUAUAGUUGAUCCUGGUUGAUCCUGGGCCACUAUAAUUUUAGUAAUUUGCCGAUGCUGUGCGUUUUUACAUAAACUGUCCUUUUAUUUAUGAGUAUGAUAAUUAUGGGCUUGAAAGCAUUGUAAUUCAUUUUUUGGCUUUGUAAAUUAAAUAAUUGACCUCGGCUAUUUACUAAUGUUUUGUACACCUAUCUUUGUGACUUCCCCAAUUUGUUGGUGGGUCUAUCGAGGCCCACCAACUCCAUCGAUCGAGUCGACCUAAACCAUGGAUAGGCUGAGCAAUUGGAGCAGAUUUGGAGCGGAUAAGUUUAAAAUUGCAUUUAUUUCUGUUGGGCUUGGUCGAGUGAGUACGCGGUCGUCCCACCGCCUUAGGGAACCCAUACCUAGUGAGUAACCUAUGUCAUUUGCUUGGAAAACCACUCUAGAAUAAUUAGUAUAGAGCGGAGCCAAAUCCUUACUGAUGUGCAUACUGAUCAUAGACCGAUUUGGGUAUCUCAGACUUACCUGAAUCGGACAGGACAGACACCAUACUAUGUUCAGAUGGUGUAAAAACCCGAAGGCACUACAUCCCACCACUGUCUAUUUGGAAGCAUCAUUGUGCCUUGUGUGAAAUAAAUUAUUGUUCCUGGGGGCGGGGAGCUAACAGUGUUUUGUUUUGUAAAUGGAUAUUUCUGCCUUUAUUUACUUUAGAAAGCAUUGUAAUCCCACUUCGGAAGAUAUUAUUAAUAAAAAGCAUUGGGAUUUUUGCUUUUGUGAAACAAUAAAGUUGUUUUACAUAUGACACAAUUUUGCUUCAUAUGCUAGUAGCCUCGGAGCAACAAGGUAUUGGAAAAUGAAUUAUAUACUGUCUAAAUACUUAUUUGAUAUAACUGCUUUGCGUGAAAAUCAUAUAUAUUAUUAAACUCUUGAUUAGCCCACAUCCCGGACACCGCCUAAAAGAAAAACCAAGAAGACAACCCACAAAACUAAUUUAGCUCCACUCUCAAAAGGUUGAUUUGCUAAUAGGAAAUGGAGACUUCGAACAGGUGCAAAGAAGAUUCUCAAUAAAAUGAUGUUGCCUAAUUUCAGAACAAAGGUAUAUAGAAAUAGAGAACAAGACUGAUCACAUGCAGCUGAUCAUGCAAACAAGUGAAGACACAAGUUGGAGUUACACAAACAGAAGGCUCAUGAUAACAGCUUCAUAGGAUUGUUGUAGUCCUGGUUGGAUAACUAAGGUUAUCCUUGUUAGUGUGUGGUAUUAACAGGAAUGUUCAUCCUACUAACAGGAUUUCUUUAGUUACCUAGUCCAGUUACACACAUUCCACAUGACUGAUUGUGUAAACUUGAUUAUAAGGACAGUAACUAGGAGGAACUUCAUACUACACUGCUUCUUGAAGGAUCUUCAUUGAGAUUUGAUACCAUAGCACCUGGUGAGAGCUUGAUGUGAUUGAUAAUGGCAUCAAUCCAAAGAAGGAGUGUUCUUGUUUGCAGUUUUUCAUUGUUACACUUGGCUGCUCAAACAAGGACUAGACUUUUCUUUCAUUUCCUAUGGAGACGACGACUUGCUUAUUCCCAAUUUGAAGCAGGGAGCUUACGGGGACCCACGCGAAUCUCAGCUCAAGGAACCUCCGUUUUCAUGCACAGUUUUUCUCAACAGCACAAGAUCGCACAAUUGGGGUGCGCCAAUAGAAAUGUCCAAACGAGAACUCUUAGAGACUUUGGGCAGUUUUGAGGUGUACGCGCAAA